rnacentral:rRNA from 1 species
AUUGAACGCUGGCGGCAGGCUUAACACAUGCAAGUCGAGCGGGGUGAUGGUGCUCGCACUAUCACUUAGCGGCGGACGGGUGAGUAAUGCUUAGGAAUCUGCCUAUUAGUGGGGGACAACAUCUCGAAAGGGAUGCUAAUACCGCAUACGUCCUACGGGAGAAAGCAGGGGAUCACUUGUGACCUUGCGCUAAUAGAUGAGCCUAAGUCGGAUUAGCUAGUUGGUGGGGUAAAGGCCUACCAAGGCGACGAUCUGUAGCGGGUCUGAGAGGAUGAUCCGCCACACUGGGACUGAGACACGGCCCAGACUCCUACGGGAGGCAGCAGUGGGGAAUAUUGGACAAUGGGGGGAACCCUGAUCCAGCCGUGCCGCGUGUGUGAAGAAGGCCUUAUGGUUGUAAGGCACUUUAAGCGAGGAGGAGGCUCUUUUGGUUAAUACCCAAGAUGAGUGGACGUUACUCGCAGAAUAAGCACCGGCUAACUCUGUGCCAGCCGCCGCUGUAA